CCUACGGGUGGCAGCAGUGGGGAAUAUUGGACAAUGGGGGCAACCCUGAUCCAGCCAUGCCGCGUGUGUGAAGAAGGCCCUCGGGUUGUAAAGCACUUUCAGUGAGGAAGAACGCCUGGUGGUUAAUACCCAUCAGGAAAGACAUCACUCACAGAAGAAGCACCGGCUAACUCCGUGCCAGCAGCCGCGGUAAUACGGAGGGUGCGAGCGUUAAUCGGAAUUACUGGGCGUAAAGCGCGCGUAGGUGGCUUGAUAAGCCGGUUGUGAAAGCCCCGGGCUCAACCUGGGAACGGCAUCCGGAACUGUCAAGCUAGAGUGCAGGAGAGGAAGGUAGAAUUCCCGGUGUAGCGGUGAAAUGCGUAGAGAUCGGGAGGAAUACCAGUGGCGAAGGCGGCCUUCUGGACUGACACUGACACUGAGGUGCGAAAGCGUGGGUAGCAAACAGGAUUAGAUAACCUGGUAGUC
rnacentral:rRNA from 1 species